rnacentral:rRNA from 1 species
UUUAUAUGAAGAGUUUGAUCCUGGCUCAGAAUGAACGUUGGCGGCACGCCUAACACAUGCAAGUCGAGCGAAGAACUAGUUUACUAGUUACUGAGCGGCGAACGGGUGAGUAAUACUUGGAUAAUCUGCCACUAGGAUUGGGAUAACCUCAGGAAACUGAGACUAAUACCAAAUAUGACCACAGUCUUUACGNAGACAGNGGUAAAAUGUUUUUUCGCCUAGUGAUGAGUCCAAGUCGCAUCAGGUUGUUGGUAAGGUAAUGGCUUACCAAGCCUAUGACGCGUAGCAGGUCUUAGCGGAUGAUCUGCCACAUGGGGACUGAGAUACGGCCCUGACUCCUACGGGAGGCAGCAGUGAGGAAUAUUGGACAAUGGACGAAAGUCUGAUCCAGCGAUGCCGCGUGAAGGAUGAAGGCCUUAGGGUUGUAAACUUCUGUCAGCAGGGAAGAUAAUGACGGUACCUGCAGAGGAAGCCCCGGCUAACUCCGUGCCAGCAGCCGCGGUAAUACGGAGGGGGCAAACGUUAUUCGGAUUUACUGGGCGUAAAGGGUUCGUAGGCGGUUUUUUAAGUUAGAUGUGAAAGCUUGAAGCUUAACUUCAAAAUAGCAUCUAAAACUGAAUUACUAGAUUCUUGGAGAGGUAGAUGGAAUUACCGGUGUAGCGGUGAAAUGCGUAGAUAUCGGUAGGAACACCAGUGGCGAAAGCGAUCUACUGGACAAGUAAUGACGCUGAGGGACGAAAGCGUGGGUAGCAAACAGGAUUAGAUACCCUGGUAGUCCACGCCCUAAACGAUGAAUACUAGAUGUUGGAUUUUUUCAGUAUCGUAGCUAACGUAUUAAGUAUUCCGCCUGGGGAGUACGGUCGCAAGGCUGAAACUCAAAGGAAUUGGCGGGGACUCGCACAAGCGGUGGAGCAUGUGGUUUAAUUCGAUGCUAAGCGAAGAACCUUACCAGGGCUUGACAUGUAAGCAUAAGCUUGCGUGAAAGCGUUAAGUGGAUUUAGGUUUACCUAUUUCGGUUUACACAGGUGCUGCAUGGCUGUCGUCAGCUCGUGCCGUGAGGUGUCCGGUUAAGUCCGGUAACGAGCGCAACCCCUAUUAUCAGUUGCCAUCACUUCGGGUGGGCACUCUGGUGAAACUGCUGGUUUAAAACUAGAGGAAGGAGGGGACGACGUCAAGUCAUCAUGGCCCUUAUGUCCUGGGCUACACACAUGCUACAAUGGCGUAUACAACGGGUUGCGAACUCGCGAGAGGAAGCUAAUCCCAUCAAAGUACGUCUCAGUUCGGAUUGCAGGCUGCAACUCGCCUGCAUGAAGUUGGAAUCGCUAGUAAUCGCGAAUCAGCUAUGUCGCGGUGAAUACGUUCCCGGGUCUUGCACACACCGCCCGUCACACCACGAAAGUCGGUCUUGCCCGAAGCAGCUGUGCUAACCCUUAGGGGGAGCAGGUUUCUAAGGUGAGGUUGGUGAUUGGGGUGAAGUCGUAACAAGGUAGCCGUACCGGAAGGUGCGGCUGGAUCACCUCCUUA